AGAGGAGUGAAAUCGAUAUGUUUCAUUUCUGGGUCAUCUCCUUAAACACUUGCCCUGUACUUUCCCCUGUGCCUUCUCUGUGGGCUGUAGCACAGGUUCAGUAACACCGAAGAGCAUGACAUCAGGGAAUGGUAACGCAGAAGAAAGGAAGGAACUUGCGUCCUUUUAUGACCUAGAGGAGUUAAUCUACUUCACCACCUGGACCGGCGGGACUGUAAUGUGAGAAAUACAUUUCUAUCUACGCAGGGAGAUACUGCUCAAAGGCAAAACACUGUUCCAAGGAACAGAAGAUAUGUGAAGAGGCCUGCAUUAGCCAAACCUAAGUGGGAAAAAGGAAGUGAAGGAAGAGGAAGAAGAAUGAAAAAACAGAGGCAAACAGGAGAUAAAAGGUUGAACAGGAGAAGGAAAAGGAGAAGAAAGAAGAAUCAGAAAAAAAAAAAAGUGAAAGAGAAAUAAUUCAUUGAAUGGCAUUGGUCACGUGUGAACACUACUGGGGAGAAGUCCCUAAACUCCACUCUUACCUACGCGGUGGACAUUAAGACUAUGCCUUAGGCUUGAGCCACAAGAAUUUUGUCUUUAAAACAUCUUCAUGAUUCAUCCAGUGGUUAUAUGCAGCUCACUAAAGUUUUUCUCAUCAAGGUUACCAAUGACAUCCCUUCAGGCAAAAGAGAGUAACCUCUUAGUCAUCAAGCUCUUUAACCUGACUUGCCAACAUUAAACAUCCAUCAAGAUCUUGCUCAUAACCCACUUCUUCCAUAAAAUUUCCCUUGAUCUUUGUUUCUAUUUUCUGAUUUCCUAUUACACUCACAGGAAAUAUGGCUUUUAUUUCUGCCUCUCUGCAAAAAGGCCAGGGAGGCUGCUAAGCAUCCUACAAUGCAUGGCACAACUCCCUACAACAAAGAAUUAGGAUAUUUUUAUACCUCCUCCAGCACUUUGCACAGGACUGGUGUGGACUGGAGUCCCAUGGUGACUACCUAGUAUUCUGUUCAAUAAUACAGAUGGUCUUAUCUCCUUCAUCUUCUACCUAUUUAUCAUAUUGUACAAUGAUGAUUGAUACUGAGAAUCAUGUCCCUGAGGCAUGCUAGAUCUAAAUCAUAAAAAAUUAAUUGACAAAAUUCAUUCGUUGUCUUGCUGGUUAAAAAAAUCGACUCAUACAUUUUAGAAAGAUCUCCAACUGGAAGAGUUGAGGCCAGAAAGCAUUACUCAUUCAACCUAAUUUAACUCCAAAAUGCAAUUAACAACAACUCCUCAAGUCCCAAAUACUCACAGUAUCUGAAGAUUUACUUAUUACCGGGAGAGUUACAGGUUUAUCCUAAAAUAGACCUGAGGGUACCAGCUUUCUGAUAUUUAUUUCCCAAUAGAUGGCAACUCUUAGUAUAAAAGUAAGUUUAUUUUAAAAUUGAUUAUAUGUCCUGGCUUAAAAUUUCCCAAAGGAGAGUCUGUAUUUGGGAGACUGUUUAUAUUUUUCAUAUUGCUUGUUUGCAUCCAGUGUAACUGAAAUUCAAGUUCAGUUCAGCAAAUCAUCCCACAGUAAGUGAUCAGAUAACUGUCCACGUGCAAACUAUUAUGUACACACAUGGCUGAAGAAUCCAGUCAAGGACAUACAACUGUUUGUGAGUAUCCCUCAUGAUUUCACAUUUUAAUGUUUAUUAUUUUUGUUUUUUUAAGCAUAAAAAGACCUAAGACAGUGUAGCAUUCCCAUCAUGUAAGAGCAGUUUAUAAAAAACACAUUACACAAUUAAGAAUCACGAACACACAGAGAAUGGAAAUAAAUAAAACAAGUGAACUAAUUAACAGACUUCUAAAACAGAAAACCAAAACUUAAAAUAUUGUACAUCUUAGUGAAAUAACAGCUGCUCUUAUUAAAGACCAUAUUCCAUUAGUACGGUAUUUUGUAAUUUAUUGCCUUUCCCACCUUGGAAAAAUUAUGUUACAGUUAUAUGGCCCUGUAUUAACAUUUUUUUGGCCUUUUAUAAGUAACUGCUUUGAAACUGGACAUUUAGCUAUCCAUUAAGUCAGUUGCAUGAGAAGAGCUUUCAUUUUUUUUCCUCUGGCUCUUUAGAAUGCUUCAAAAGAAUGAUUCAGGGAAAUCAUAAAAGGAUGAAUUCAAAAUGAUAAAAUGAUGAAAUUAUAAAAUGUAAAUGUACCCUUCCACACAGGGCCACUCUGCUACCUGUGUAUCAAUAGCAUCAUACAGUCACAUUACCUGUAUAUAACACAGAUUUCUAUUUUUAUG
rnacentral:lncRNA from 1 species